GCUUGCUUUUGAUGGGCGUCGACCGGCGCACGGGUGAGUAACGCGUAUCCAUCCUGCCCACCACUUGGGGAUAACCUUGCGAAAGUAAGACUAUUACCCAAUGAUAUCUCUAGAAGACAUCUGAAAGAGAUUAAAGAUUUAUCGGUGAUGGAUGGGGAUGCGUCUGAUUAGCUUGUUGGCGGGGUAAUGGCCCACCAAGGCAACGAUCAGUAGGGGUUCUGAGAGGAAGGUCCCCCACAUUGGAACUGAGACACGGUCCAAACUCCUACGGGAGGCAGCAGUGAGGAAUAUUGGUCAAUGGGCGAGAGCCUGAACCAGCCAAGUAGCGUGCAGGAAGACGGCCCUAUGGGUUGUAAACUGCUUUUAUAAGGGAAUAAAGUGAGUCUCGUGAGACUUUUUGCAUGUACCUUAUGAAUAAGGACCGGCUAAUUCCGUGCCAGCAGCCGCGGUAAUACGGAAGGUCCGGGCGUUAUCCGGAUUUAUUGGGUUUAAAGGGAGCGUAGGCCGGAGAUUAAGCGUGUUGUGAAAUGUAGAUGCUCAACAUCUGAACUGCAGCGCGAACUGGUUUCCUUGAGUACGCACAAAGUGGGCGGAAUUCGUGGUGUAGCGGUGAAAUGCUUAGAUAUCACGAAGAACUCCGAUUG
rnacentral:rRNA from 1 species